CCUACGGGAGACAGCAGUGAGGAAUAUUGGUCAAUGGGCGCGAGCCUGAACCAGCCAAGUAGCGUGAAGGAUGACUGCCCUACGGGUUGUAAACUUCUUUUAUAAAGGAAUAAAGUGAGGCACGUGUGCCUUUUUUUAUGUACCUUAUGAAUAAGGAUCGGCUAACUCCGUGCCAGCAGCCGCGGUAAUACGGAGGAUCCGAGCGUUAUCCGGAUUUAUUGGGUUUAAAGGGUGCGUAGGCAGCCUUUUAAGUCAGCGGUGAAAGUCUGUGGCUCAACCAUAGAAUUGCCGUUGAACCUGGGGGGCUUGAGUAUGUUUGAGGCAGGCGGAAUGCGUGGUGUAGCGGUGAAAUGCUUAGAUAUCACGCAGAACCCCGAUUGCGAAGGCAGCCUGCCAAGCCAUGACUGACGCUGAUGCACGAAAGCGUGGGGAUCAAACAGGAUUAGAUACCCGUGUAGUC
rnacentral:rRNA from 1 species